rnacentral:rRNA from 1 species
UACAGAGGGGGCAAGCGUUAUUCGGAAUUAUUGGGCGUAAAGGGCGCGUAGGCGGCCAUUCAAGUGACGGGUGAAAGCCCUCGGCUUAACCGAGGAACUGCCUGUCAGACUGGAUGGCUUGAGACCGGGAGAGGUGAGUGGAAUUCCUGGUGUAGCGGUGAAAUGCGCAGAUAUCAGGAGGAACACCGAUUGCGAAGGCAGCUCGCUGGAACGUUACUGACGCUGAGACGCGAAAGCGUGGGGAGCAAACAGG